CGCACAUUGCGCCCCUUGGUAUUCCGGGGGGCAUGCCUGUUCGAGCGUCAUUACAACCCUCAAGCCUGGCUUGGUCUUGGGCUACGCCGUUCGUUCGGCGGGCCUUAAAAUCAGUGGCGGUGCCUCCGCGGCCCUGAGCGUAGUAAAUUUCCUCGCUUUUGGACCCGGUGGUUACUGGCCAGCAACCCCCAACUUCUUAGUUUGACCUCGGAUCAGGUAGGGAUACCCGCUGAACUUAA
rnacentral:misc_RNA from 1 species